AAUUUUUAUACAUAAGGCACCUCGUUAAUUUAGUUUAGUGGUAUUUAUUAAAUUAUACGAAAGUGUCUUAUUUUUUAAAGUAUUUCAAAGUAAAAUUACAUGUUAAUACGUAGUAUUAAUGGCGAGACUCCUGAGGGAGCAGUGCCAGUCGAAGAC
rnacentral:sRNA from 1 species